rnacentral:rRNA from 1 species
GACGGAGGAUGCAAGUGUUGUCCGGAAUCACUGGGCGUAAAGCGUCUGUAGGUGGUCAAAUAAGUCAACUGUUAAAUCUUGAGGCUUAACCUCAAAAUCGCAGUCGAAACUAUUAGACUAGAGUAUAGUAGGGGUAAAGGGAAUUUCCAGUGGAGCGGCGAAAUGCGUAGAGAUUGGAAAGAACACCGAUGGCGAAGGCACUUUACUGGGCUAUUACUAACACUCAGAGACGAAAGCUAGGGUAGCAAAUGGG